UGCAGCAACGCCGCGUGAGGGAUGACGGCCUUUGGGUUGUAAACCUCUUUUAGCAGGGAAGAAGCGAAAGUGACGGUACCUGCAGAAAAAGCGCCGGCUAACUACGUGCCAGCAGCCGCGGUAAUACGUAGGGCGCAAGCGUUAUCCGGAAUUAUUGGGCGUAAAGAGCUCGUAGGCGGUUUGUCGCGUCUGCUGUGAAAUCCCGAGGCUCAACCUCGGGCCUGCAGUGGGUACGGGCAGACUAGAGUGCGGUAGGGGAGAUUGGAAUUCCUGGUGUAGCGGUGGAAUGCGCAGAUAUCAGGAGGAACACCGAUGGCGAAGGCAGAUCUCUGGGCCGUAACUGACGCUGAGGAGCGAAAGGGUGGGGAGCAAACAGGCUUAGAUACCCUGGUAGUCCACCCCGUAAACGUUGGGAACUAGUUGUGGGGACCAUUCCACGGUUUCCGUGACGCAGCUAACGCAUUAAGUUCCCCGCCUGGGGAGUACGGCCGCAAGGCUAAAACUCAAAGGAAUUGACGGGGACCCGCACAAGCGGCGGAGCAUGCGGAUUAAUUCGAUGCAACGCGAAGAACCUUACCAAGGCUUGACAUAUACGAGAACGGGCCAGAAAUGGUCAACUCUUUGGACA
rnacentral:rRNA from 1 species